CGACAGUUGAGGUCAAUGAUAAAGUACUUCAAAUAUGCCAGGCGAGACCAUGGACCAUAGUUAUUAUGGAGUCUUGCUCUGUCGCUCAGGCUGGAGUGCAGUGGUGCUAUCUGGGCUCACUGCAAACUCCGCCUCCCGGGUUCAUGCCAUUCUCCUGCCUCAGCCUCCCGAGUAGCUGGGAGUACAGUGGCCUUUACCCCCAGCAGUUUCAGUGACAUCUCCUUGGAUGAACUCUCAAUAAGCCUCAGAGUUGCCCCAGCAAUUGACUUACCAGCCUUGGACUACCAGAACCUCUCCAGGAUGUCUUCAGCUUGCUAGAUCCAGCUAAGGUUCCCUACUCACCAGCCUAAACCUAUAGGUUCUGCUAUGAGAGGCUUUGAGUUUAUCAGUCCUGGCCUGUAGAUUCUUGUGUGCCAAUCUUGGCCAGCUGACUUUGAACCAGUUAUGGUUGGACAACUCAAUGAA